rnacentral:lncRNA from 10 species
ACUGGAUGUGGUGAGUAAGGUUAAGAGGGGUGAUUUCUAAUUCUGGAUACAGUUUUUUAACAAAUAGGCAGAGUUAGUUGUUAAAAAUCUGUAUCUUCAGAGUGUUGGGGGCAUGGUUUCCUCCUAUGGUCAUUCUUCUGUAGGCUUCUUUGUAGGUCUACAAAGAGAAUGUUCAACAAAGAAAAAGAAACUAGACAUGCAAGAGUGUCUAUUUAUCAUCUUCUACAGCAAGCUUCCGUUCUAUAGGAAAGAUGGGAAGGUUUUGGAGAAAAGGCAACCUUCAGAAAAA